GAUGAACGCUGGCGGCGUGCCUAAUACAUGCAAGUCGAGCGAACGGACGAGAAGCUUGCUUCUCUGAUGUUAGCGGCGGACGGGUGAGUAACACGUGGAUAACCUACCUAUAAGACUGGGAUAACUUCGGGAAACCGGAGCUAAUACCGGAUAAUAUUUUGAACCGCAUGGUUCAAAAGUGAAAGACGGUCUUGCUGUCACUUAUAGAUGGAUCCGCGCUGCAUUAGCUAGUUGGUAAGGUAACGGCUUACCAAGGCAACGAUGCAUAGCCGACCUGAGAGGGUGAUCGGCCACACUGGAACUGAGACACGGUCCAGACUCCUACGGGAGGCAGCAGUAGGGAAUCUUCCGCAAUGGGCGAAAGCCUGACGGAGCAACGCCGCGUGAGUGAUGAAGGUCUUCGGAUCGUAAAACUCUGUUAUUAGGGAAGAACAUAUGUGUAAGUAACUGUGCACAUCUUGACGGUACCUAAUCAGAAAGCCACGGCUAACUACGUGCCAGCAGCCGCGGUAAUACGUAGGUGGCAAGCGUUAUCCGGAAUUAUUGGGCGUAAAGCGCGCGUAGGCGGUUUUUUAAGUCUGAUGUGAAAGCCCACGGCUCAACCGUGGAGGGUCAUUGGAAACUGGAAAACUUGAGUGCAGAAGAGGAAAGUGGAAUUCCAUGUGUAGCGGUGAAAUGCGCAGAGAUAUGGAGGAACACCAGUGGCGAAGGCGACUUUCUGGUCUGUAACUGACGCUGAUGUGCGAAAGCGUGGGGAUCAAACAGGAUUAGAUACCCUGGUAGUCCACGCCGUAAACGAUGAGUGCUAAGUGUUAGGGGGUUUCCGCCCCUUAGUGCUGCAGCUAACGCAUUAGGCACUCCGCCUGGGGAGUACGACCGCAAGGUUGAAACUCAAAGGAAUUGACGGGGACCCGCACAAGCGGUGGAGCAUGUGGUUUAACUCGAAGCAACGCGAAGAACCUUACCAAAUCUUGACAUCCUUUGACAACUCUAGAGAUAGAGCUUUCCCCUUCGGGGGACAAAGUGACAGGUGGUGCAUGGUUGUCGUCAGCUCGUGUCGUGAGAUGUUGGGUUAAGUCCCGCAACGAGCGCAACCCUUAAGCUUAGUUGCCAUCAUUAAGUUGGGCACUCUAAGUUGACUGCCGGUGACAAACCGGACGAAGGUGGGGAUGACGUCAAAUCAUCAUGCCCCUUAUGAUUUGGGCUACACACGUGCUACAAUGGACAAUACAAAGGGCAGCGAAACCGCGAGGUCAAGCAAAUCCCAUAAAGUUGUUCUCAGUUCGGAUUGUAGUCUGCAACUCGACUACAUGAAGCUGGAAUCGCUAGUAAUCGUAGAUCAGCAUGCUACGGUGAAUACGUUCCCCGGGUCU
rnacentral:rRNA from 1 species